rnacentral:rRNA from 1 species
UACGAAGGGGGCUAGCGUUGUUCGGAAUCACUGGGCGUAAAGCGCACGUAGGCGGUUUUGUAAGUCAGGGGUGAAAUCCCGGGGCUCAACCUCGGAACUGCCUUUGAUACUGCGAAUCUCGAGUCCGAUAGAGGUGGGUGGAAUUCCUAGUGUAGAGGUGAAAUUCGUAGAUAUUAGGAAGAACACCGGUGGCGAAGGCGGCCCACUGGAUCGGUACUGACGCUGAGGUGCGAAAGCGUGGGGAGCAAACAGG